GCCCGGCUAGCUCAGUCGGUAGAGCAUAAGACUCGAGACUCUUAAUCUCAGAGUCGUGGAUUCGAGCCCCACGUUGGGCG
rnacentral:tRNA from 1 species